UACGUCGGGUGCAAGCGUUCAUCGGAAUUACUGGGCGUAAAGCGUGCGCAGGCGGUUUUGUAAGUUUGUCGUGAAAGCCCCGGGCUCAACCUGGGAAUUGCGAUGAAGACUGCAAGGCUUGAAUCUGGCAGAGGGGGGUAGAAUUCCACGUGUAGCAGUGAAAUGCGUAGAGAUGUGGAGGAACACCGAUGGCGAAGGCAGCCCCCUGGGUCAAGAUUGACGCUCAUGCACGAAAGCGUGGGGAGCAAACAGG
rnacentral:rRNA from 1 species